rnacentral:rRNA from 1 species
GACGAACGCUGGCGGCGUGCUUAACACAUGCAAGUCGAACGAUGAAGCUGGAGCUUGCUCCGGUGGAUUAGUGGCGAACGGGUGAGUAACACGUGAGCAAUCUGCCCUUGACUCUGGGAUAACUGCGGGAAACUGUAGCUAAUACCGGAUAUGAGGCUUGGAGGCAUCUCCAGGCCUGGAAAGAAUUUCGGUCAAGGAUGAGCUCGCGGCCUAUCAGCUAGUUGGUGAGGUAAUGGCUCACCAAGGCGACGACGGGUAGCCGGCCUGAGAGGGUGACCGGCCACACUGGGACUGAGACACGGCCCAGACUCCUACGGGAGGCAGCAGUGGGGAAUAUUGCACAAUGGGCGAAAGCCUGAUGCAGCAACGCCGCGUGAGGGACGAAGGCCUUCGGGUUGUAAACCUCUUUUAGCAGGGAAGAAGCGAAAGUGACGGUACCUGCAGAAAAAGCACCGGCUAACUACGUG